rnacentral:misc_RNA from 1 species
CUACAAGUAGGUGAUACCAACAUGCUCGUUGGAUCUCUCACUUUUGCUGUGAAUAGUUGGACUGCUUUCCACCAGGUCUUCCUGGUGGCAAGUGUGUUCCGCCAUAUGUUUUCCACAUUGCACAGAGUAUGUCUGAAGUAUAACGCGUUUUGACAAAAUGUUAAAA